UGUCCAGUCCUAUGCGGCGAAAGCCCGUGAACCCCGUCAGGUCCGGAAGGAAGCAGCGGUAAGCGGAGUCUUUUGGGUGCCAUGGGGUCACUGGACUCCC
rnacentral:SRP_RNA from 2 species